UGGGGAAUAUUGCACAAUGGGGGAAACCCUGAUGCAGCGACGCCGCGUGAACGAAGAAGGUAUUCGUAUCGUAAAGUUCUGUCCUAUGGGAAGAUAAUGACAGUACCAUAGAAGAAAGCUCCGGCUAAAUACGUGCCAGCAGCCGCGGUAAUACGUAUGGAGCGAGCGUUGUCCGGAAUUAUUGGGCGUAAAGGGUACGCAGGCGGUUUAAUAAGUCGAAUGUUAAAGAUCGGGGCUCAAUCCCGUAAAGCAUUGGAAACUGAUAAACUUGAGUAGUGGAGAGAAAAGUGGAAUUCCUAGUGUAGUGGUGAAAUACGUAGAUAUUAGGAGGAAUACCAGUAGCGAAGGGGACUUUCUGGACACAAACUGACGCUGAGGUACGAAAGCGUGGGGAGCAAACAGG
rnacentral:rRNA from 1 species